UCAGGGCAAAGAACAGGAACAUACAUUUGUCUUUAGACUGGAUCAUCCAAAAGCAUGCAAACAUUUAUGGAAAUGUGCUGUGGAGCAUCAUGCUUUCUUCCGCCUUCGAGGCCCCGUCCAAAAGAGUUCUCAUCGAUCAGGAUUUAUUCGACUAGGAUCACGAUUUAGAUAUAGUGGGAAAACAGAGUAUCAGACCACAAAAACCAAUAAAGCAAGAAGAUCAACAUCCUUUGAAAGAAGGCCCAGCAAACGAUAUUCUAGACGAACUCUACAAAUGAAAGCAUGUGCUACAAAACCUGAAGAACUUAGUGUUCACAAUAAUGUUUCGACCCAAAGUAAUGGCUCCCAACAGGCUUGGGGGAUGAGAUCUGCUCUGCCUGUGAGUCCUUCCAUUUCCUCUGCUCCUGUGCCAGUGGAGAUAGAGAAUCUUCCACAGAGUCCUGGAACAGACCAGCAUGACAGGAAAUGGCUCUCUGCUGCCAGCGACUGCUGUCAACGUGGUGGAAACCAGUGGAACACAAGGGCCUUGCCCCCACCCCAGACCGCACAUAGAAACUACACUGACUUUGUUCAUGAGCACAAUGUGAAGAAUGCAGGAAUCCGUCAUGAUGUUCAUUUUCCUGGCCAUACAGCCAUGACUGAGAUAUGAGUGUUGAGCCUCUUAGGCUUUGGGACUCUUUGUCAUGCAAGUUGAUGGUAUACAUUAUCUGGUGUUUAUAAAGGAUUAAUCACAUUAGGAGUAUUUGGGAGAAUUUACAGUGAGUCACUAGUUGUUCAGUGCUGUUUGUAAUUGAAUUCUUCCAUGAAAGGGACAAGGAAUCAAGGAAGCCAUAUAGCAUCAAUGAUAAUGACAAAUGUUUGUGUUGAAAAGAGUGUGUAUACCAUUGUGGUUUUGGAAGAGUUUUCAGACCUUAGUAUGUUCACACAUCACCAGACUGUAUCUCAGGAGAAGGUUUGUGUUUGUGAACAAGGUGCCCAUUAUUCCCCCACCACAUGCCAUCCAAAGAGAUCGAGGUUAAAAGAAUCAGACACACUAAAAACACAGUGGAAGCAUGUCUAGGCAUAAUAUAUCAGCCUUUUGAGAUAUUUAUUAAAAACUUGUUCUUAUACACUAUUUUAAUAUGUCUAAAGUGACACAUACCUUAAUUUAAGUGCCUAAGAUUUUAAUUAAUAUAAUUUUUAAUUACAAACACUUUUACUUUUUAAUAAACACGAAUAUUUUAACUUACCAAAAGAUUUAGAGAUCACAUUAAUAAUGUGGCUCAUGUAUAGAGAAAUCUGAAUGGUUAGUUUUGAAUGGUUAACUGAUUAACAUUCAGUUAUCAUAACAGUUAACCAGUGGUUAACUGAAUGGUUACAUUACUACUGAAUGGUUCUAUAAAAUG
rnacentral:lncRNA from 1 species